AGCGAACAUUGGCGGUAGGCUUAACACAUGCAAGUCGAGCGAGGCGUAAUAGUCGAGCGGCGAACGGGUGCGUAAUACAUGGGAAUCUACCUCGAAGUGGGGGAUAACGUCCAGAAAUGGACGCUAAUACCGCAUAAUCCAUAUCGGGAAAGCGUUGCAGCGCUUUGAGAUGAGCCCAUGGCUGAUUAGCUUGCUGGUGAGGUAACGGCUCACCAAGGCGACGAUCAGUAGCUGGUCUGAGAGGAUGACCAGCCACACUGGAACUGAGACACGGUCCAGACUCCUACGGGAGGCAGCAGUGGGGAAUCUUGCGCAAUGGGGGCAACCCUGACGCAGCCAUACCGCGUGAGUGAUGAAGGUCUUCGGAUUGUAAAGCUCUUUCGGCAGGGACGACGAUGACGGUACCUGCAAAAGAAGUCACGGCUAACUUCGUGCCAGCAGCCGCCGCAG
rnacentral:rRNA from 1 species